rnacentral:tRNA from 13 species
UGCGAGGAUGGAGAAAUGGCGUCUUGCGAGUUUCAUAAGCUCGAUAACGUGGGGUUCGAAUCCUCACCUCGCAACCA